UUUGCUCUCUGGAAUUAGUGUAAUUUAGCGUUCUAUUAGAUCAUUUCGAAAGCUCGACGUCGUAGAGUUCGAUCUGAGUGAGAGCGUAGACUAUAUUUGCAUACCUUUGAUCACAUCAGGCACGGGAAACUUCAGAAACUGGCGGCCGUCGGAACGCAUCAGCUCCCUAAACAGCUGCCAAGAUUUGAUCUCUGGGAGCAAUGCCUGAACAAUGGACUUCAAACCGUAAGCUAGAAAAUCCGAGAAUUUCAGGUUCCGAAACUGCUCGUCUCUUGGCACGUAAACGUCUAAACUCAACAGAGGCAACCUACAUUCGCAGCAUGGAUCUGUAAAACACGACCAAGUCAAUGAUCUAACAAGUUUGCUAGCAACCCACAUGAUAGAAUUGAUUGAAAGUUCAUAAUCUGAACCUGUUUUUGCAGGUUUUCGACCGGUUCGUCCUCUUCGAGGAUAAGGAAACUCGCCCGAGCCGCCAAGAACGUGGCUCAGGCGUUUCACUUGGAAGAUAACUCUAACAAAAUCAUUUCAUGGGUUUAGAAUCAAAAUUUUGUGAACCCAAAAUGAAGAAUCUAAGCAGACCAAAUGUUACCUUGUUGGAGAAAAAGACACGGUCGUAAG